rnacentral:lncRNA from 1 species
AGCGAUUCUCCUGCCUCAGCUUCCCAAGCAGCUGGACUACAGCAGGGAUGACGGCGCUCCUGGAGGCUGGCUGGGAAGCUGGUCAGGGUCCCAGGACUCUGACACCCCCAAUGGCCCUUGUAGCCUUGGGGAGUCCUGUGAUCCAAGGCUGGAGGACUGAGUCCCCUCCAGGUCUCAUAGCAGACGAAUAGCAGCUUCACCCAGGCCUGUUUUGUCGUGGCCCCAUUCAGAGGCCGCCCUCCUCUGUGGUUUAGAGCAUGCCCUGGAAUCCCUAGCACAACCAGGUGACGAGAGUUCCCCGCUGGCCCCCUGCCGCGGGAACACAAAGUACCUUUGCACAUAACCUUUCUUUGUCCUCUGCUGGUGACGGCAAAUAGGGCAGGCCCAGGGCAACGUGGUAAGGUGGCAGAAGUUUGUUUUGGACAGUGUUUGCAGCUUCUCUGUUCCCUUUCCACCAGGGGUUACCUCCUGCUGGCUGACCCCUUCCUGUGCUGCGGGCUGGAAUAUAGGGUUUAACCCUGUUAUAACCCAGAGGAACACAAAAGGAGGAACAUCAGGCUUUAUGGAGAGACUGGAAAUGAAGUGGAGGUUUUCCUUGCUCAUGAAACCUGGCUCACCCUACAGGUAGUCCCAAAGAGAGCUUGUGAUUUUCUUUCCCCUUUGGUCCCCCGACCCCUUCAGAGCUCUCUGGGAAGCUAUGCUCUCUCACUGCUUUCCCUCCCCUGAUCAGAGUCCCUGUGCCAAGGCUCCUGGAUACUGGGGCUGGAAAACCUCCUGUCCCUUCCACCACUCCUGUGCCCUCCAGGGAAGGGGUCUGGGGUCUCGGGGCUCACCCCCACCUGUGUGCCAGUCCCUGUGCUAGGCCUGCACAGACAUCAGCUCGCUGAUCACUACGAGAACCUCAACUCUUCUCCCCAUUUCAUGAGGACACCGAGGCUCAGAGGUGUUCGUGAUACUCAAGAUCACACUGCCAGAGCGUGAGUUACUGGGAUUUGAACUUUGGUCCGUGUGGCUGCAAAGCCAGUGGCUGCUAUGAUUCUCUUUCCACUUGCUGCAGCCCACGUCCCUCUGGGCAAGUCUGACACCCUAGCUGCCCUCAACUGCCUGGCCCCGUGGCGUCCCAGAGGGCGAGGGGAGCACAGGGACUGGGCACAGAGGCCAGCUGGGGUCAAGGCAAGGGGGCUGCCCAGCACAGUGGUUCUGCUCCAGAGGUGCAGUCAGACUGCCUGGGUUGGCUCAUGCCUGGGUCUGUCAUUGUGGGCAGCGUGACCAGCCUAAACCUCAGUUUUCUCUUUUGUCACCUAUGUGCUAAAAAUACUUAUUUCUGGAGAUUCUUGUGAGGAUUAAAUGAGAUCUUCCAAGCCAAGUGCUUUGCAUAGUGACGCAGGGUAGGUGCUCAAGAAAUUUUGUUGUCUGCCUGUGGUCUGGGUGGGGGCAGGGUGGGGCUGCGAUGGUGAAGAAAUGACACAGAAACCCACAGGAAACUUCAUCAUCUAGAUGGUACAUGGAUGGCACAUUCAAGGGAAGUAACGAAACGAGAAGAAAAAACUUUUACAUUUUGGCUGAGCAAAGGCAACAAUAUAAUUACCAUCAUUUAUAAAAACUGCCUCCCAUUAAUGUCUAAUUCCCACAAAGCGCAACAAUGAUUAUCUCAUUAACUAUGUGUCAGAUUAACUUUGUUGCAGGUUUUAUUUGAUUAAAACAGUGAACUCACAACACGUAUUAUGCUCAUUCUUCAUAGUUUGUGGUUUCUGGAGCAUAGUCCUCUGUUGGCAACUUUUUCUAAAUUAGAGGGCACGUUUCUGGGUGGUGCAGACCCCUGUCCCCUCCUCCUCACCCCUACCUUAACAGGGAGAAGCUGCCUGUGGACAGCUCCCAGCUGCACAGGGAAAUCGCUGAAGAUUUCUAAUAGGGAAGUGUCACACUUUGCCAACUCUGGAGAAGACAGAAUAAUUGGCUGGAAUCGCAGACCGGACGGAGUCUCGCUCUGUCUCCCAGGCUGGAGUGCACUG